UAAAGAGAAUGAGACGAUCGUCCCGAUAUAUCGGGGAGGAAAGUCCGAACACCAGGAGCGAGAUACUACGUAACACGUAGUUCCAGCGAUGGAAAGAUAGUGCCACAGAAAACAAACCGUCCCGACUUGUCGGGGUAAGGGUGAAAAGGUGGUGUAAGAGACCACCAGUGCUCGUGGUAACAUGGGUAGCUCGGUAAACCUUAUUGGUGCAAGGUCAAAUAGAAGAGAAAUUCGCUUGUAGCGGAUACGAAGCGCUCCCUUCGUCAUACUCUCGGGUAGACCGCAAAAUCCGGUCUCAGAAGGUACUGAGAGUACUUCUUGCAAGUGCGCUGUGAAGCCCGGAUCAGAUAAAUGAUCGUCAUCCUGAUCUGUUACUUCAGGAUACAGAAUUCGGCUUACCAUUCUCUUUAGUUU
rnacentral:RNase_P_RNA from 1 species